UUAAGCCAUGCGAGUCGAACGAGUUUAGGCUCGUGGCGUACGGCUCAGUAACACGUGGAUAACCUACCCUUAGGACCGGGAUAACCUUGGGAAACUGAGGAUAAUACUGGAUAGGCAAUUAUUUCUGCAAUGGUUUUUUGUUUAAAUGUUUUUUUCGCCUAAGGAUGGGUCUGCGGCCGAUUAGGUAGUUGGUUAGGUAAAGGCUUACCAAGCCGUUGAUCGGUACGGGUUGUGAGAGCAAGAGCCCGGAGAUGGAACCUGAGACAAGGUCCCAGGCCCUACGGGGUGCAGCAGGCGCGAAACCUCCGCAAUGUGAGAAAUCGCGACGGGGGGAUCCCAAGUGCCAUUCUUAACGGGAUGGCUUUUCAUUAGUGUAAAGAGCUUUUGGAAUAAGGGCUGGGCAAGACCGGUGCCAGCCGCCGCGGUGA
rnacentral:rRNA from 1 species